AAAUUGAAGAGUUUGAUCAUGGCUCAGAUUGAACGCUGGCGGCAGGCCUAACACAUGCAAGUCGAACGGUAACAGGAAUCAGCUUGCUGAUUCGCUGACGAGUGGCGGACGGGUGAGUAAUGUCUGGGAAACUGCCUGAUGGAGGGGGAUAACUACUGGAAACGGUAGCUAAUACCGCAUAACGUCGCAAGACCAAAGAGGGGGACCUUCGGGCCUCUUGCCAUCAGAUGUGCCCAGAUGGGAUUAGCUAGUAGGUGGGGUAACGGCUCACCUAGGCGACGAUCCCUAGCUGGUCUGAGAGGAUGACCAGCCACACUGGAACUGAGACACGGUCCAGACUCCUACGGGAGGCAGCAGUGGGGAAUAUUGCACAAUGGGCGCAAGCCUGAUGCAGCCAUGCCGCGUGUAUGAAGAAGGCCUUCGGGUUGUAAAGUACUUUCAGCGGGGAGGAAGGGAGUAAAGUUAAUACCUUUGCUCAUUGACGUUACCCGCAGAAGAAGCACCGGCUAACUCCGUGCCAGCAGCCGCGGUAAUACGGAGGGUGCAAGCGUUAAUCGGAAUUACUGGGCGUAAAGCGCACGCAGGCGGUUUGUUAAGUCAGAUGUGAAAUCCCCGGGCUCAACCUGGGAACUGCAUCUGAUACUGGCAAGCUUGAGUCUCGUAGAGGGGGGUAGAAUUCCAGGUGUAGCGGUGAAAUGCGUAGAGAUCUGGAGGAAUACCGGUGGCGAAGGCGGCCCCCUGGACGAAGACUGACGCUCAGGUGCGAAAGCGUGGGGAGCAAACAGGAUUAGAUACCCUGGUAGUCCACGCCGUAAACGAUGUCGACUUGGAGGUUGUGCCCUUGAGGCGUGGCUUCCGGAGCUAACGCGUUAAGUCGACCGCCUGGGGAGUACGGCCGCAAGGUUAAAACUCAAAUGAAUUGACGGGGGCCCGCACAAGCGGUGGAGCAUGUGGUUUAAUUCGAUGCAACGCGAAGAACCUUACCUGGUCUUGACAUCCACAGAACUUUCCAGAGAUGGAUUGGUGCCUUCGGGAACUGUGAGACAGGUGCUGCAUGGCUGUCGUCAGCUCGUGUUGUGAAAUGUUGGGUUAAGUCCCGCAACGAGCGCAACCCUUAUCCUUUGUUGCCAGCGGUCCGGCCGGGAACUCAAAGGAGACUGCCAGUGAUAAACUGGAGGAAGGUGGGGAUGACGUCAAGUCAUCAUGGCCCUUACGACCAGGGCUACACACGUGCUACAAUGGCGCAUACAAAGAGAAGCGACCUCGCGAGAGCAAGCGGACCUCAUAAAGUGCGUCGUAGUCCGGAUUGGAGUCUGCAACUCGACUCCAUGAAGUCGGAAUCGCUAGUAAUCGUGGAUCAGAAUGCCACGGUGAAUACGUUCCCGGGCCUUGUACACACCGCCCGUCACACCAUGGGAGUGGGUUGCAAAAGAAGUAGGUAGCUUAACCUUCGGGAGGGCGCUUACCACUUUGUGAUUCAUGACUGGGGUGAAGUCGUAACAAGGUAACCGUAGGGGAACCUGCGGUUGGAUCACCUCCUUACCUUAAAGAAGC
rnacentral:rRNA from 1 species